AUGCUCACGCCAUUCCCCAGCUGUGCGCCAUGGCCUCGAGCCCGAGAUCUGUCACCUCCACCUUCAGGCCACCCGGUGAGCGGCCGGUGGUCUUGGGGUUGGGGAUCUUCUCGGAGUCGAAGGGCUCGGAGGUCCGCGGCUCGCGGGCGGAGGCGGAGCCGCAGCCUGUUCCCGUGCCGCCAUCGGCGCCAUGGGUGCAGCCCCCCCCCCUCAAAGAAGGAGAUUUGGAGGAAAUGUCAUGCCAUGGGCGAGCAGAGAAGAGAUCCGGGACAUGCGUCGGGCAGGCCGGCGGUGUCGCCGGAGAUGAGGGACAAGUGUUUCCGCUGCUUGGAGAAGGGCCACUUCCGGGUCGAUUGCACCAAUGAGAUCGUUUGCUUCCGCUGCGGGCUCCCUGACCAUGGUUCGAAGGACUGCAAGAGGCCCCGUAGCCCGUCUUCGAUGGAUGAGCUGAGGCGCGACGCGGUGGCCAAAGUGGCUUGUCGUGCCAGCCCCGUGCCCCUUGCUGCGUCACGCGGCGCGCCUUCGGUUUCACCGCCACCUCCUCCUCCCCCCAGCAGCGCACAAGCCAGGAUGCGCGUCUGGUCUGGCCACCGCUGGCACCGCCGCGGUUGCAGACACUUAUCGACGUUGAGGAAGACCCCACGGAGAUCUGUAUCAUGCGCCGUUCGCAGACGGUGGAGGACCUUGAGCGCCGCCUCUAGUUCUCCAUGGUGGCGUACAUCGGAGGGGCGAGGCGGGUGA
rnacentral:rRNA from 1 species